rnacentral:rRNA from 1 species
AGUGAACGCUGGCGGUAGGCCUAACACAUGCAAGUCGAACGGCAGCACAGUAAGAGCUUGCUCUUACGGGUGGCGAGUGGGGGACGGGUGAGGAAUACAUCGGAAUCUACUUUUUCGUGGGGGAUAACGUAGGGAAACUUAAGCCCAUACCGCAUACGACGUACGGGUGAAAGGAGGGGAAAUUCGGACCUUGCGCGGAUGAAUGAGCCGAUGUCGGACUAGCUAGUUGGCCGGGUAAAGGCCCACCAAGGCGACGAUCCGUAGCUGGUCUGGGAGGAUGAUCAGCCACACUGGAACUGAGACACGGUCCAGGCUCCUACGGUAGGCAGCAGUGGCGAAUAUUGGACAAUGGGCGCAAGCCUGAUCCAACCAUACCACGUGUGUGAAGAAGGCCUUCCGUUUGUAAAGCCCGUUUGUUGGGAAAGAACAGCAUCAGGUUAAUACCCCGCUGUUCUGACGGUACCCGAAGAAUAAGCACCGGCUAACUUCGUG